rnacentral:tRNA from 1 species
GAACUAAUAGUAUAAUUAUUACGUUGAAUUGCAGAUUCAAAGGUGUUAUAAAACUUAGUUCU